rnacentral:rRNA from 1 species
GACGAACGCUGGCGGCGUGCCUAAUACAUGCAAGUCGAGCGGACUUUCAAGAAGCUUGCUUUUUGAAAGUUAGCGGCGGACGGGUGAGUAACACGUGGGCAACCUGCCUGUAAGACGGGGAUAACUCCGGGAAACCGGGGCUAAUACCGGAUAAUAUCUUUCUUCGCAUGAAGGAAGGUUGAAAGGCGGCGCAAGCUGCCGCUUGCAGAUGGGCCCGCGGCGCAUUAGCUAGUUGGUGAGGUAACGGCUCACCAAGGCGACGAUGCGUAGCCGACCUGGGGGGGUGAUCGGCCACACUGGGACUGAGACACGGCCCAGACUCCUACGGGAGGCAGCAGUAGGGAAUCUUCCGCAAUGGACGAAAGUCUGACGGAGCAACGCCGCGUGAGCGAAGAAGGUCUUCGGAUCGUAAAGCUCUGUUGUCAGGGACGAACAAGUACCGUUCGAAUAGGGCGGUACCUUGACGGUACCUGACCAGAAAGCCACGGCUAACUACGUGCCAGCCGCCGCCGUAA